CUGAACACUCUCUCUUGUCUCUUUCUUUUCCAGUGAGCGCCUAUGAGAUACUGCCAGCCUCGCCGACCUGCAACGUUCUCUGGGAAGCCUUUCAGACUUUCCCACAUGGAAUCCUCUCUCCUAUUUUCCUCUGCCAUAAGGACUCUAAUGAGGAGGCAGGACACACAGACAGACAGCAAGCUACCUCCUUGGUAACUGAUUGCCUGAAGAUUAUCUGGACAUCUGGGCAGC
rnacentral:lncRNA from 1 species